rnacentral:misc_RNA from 1 species
GGGGUACUGUAAGUGGUAGAGUAGCCUUGUUGCUACGAUCCACUGAGGUUAAGCCCUUGUUCUAAAGAUUUGUUCAACUUUGUUGGACUUUCUCUUUUUUCUUUACAUGCUGAACGCUGAGGGCCGGGAUAGUCUAUCUCGUGCACUCGCAACAGCAUGUUUCUUAGGUUCGAACGGGUAAAGUGCUAACGAUUUCGUUACCUUUCUUGUAAGAAUCAUGAACAUAAGGGAUCUGGUUAGCAACCGUUUGAACGCGCGCUGACUCUUUACCUUGUACUUGAUAUCGGCCUUAUGGUCGAUAUUCCGUAUAUGGUAUAGCCAAAGGACCCCUAAUUAGGCAUUCAGUGCGACUGGAUUGCCGGAUUUAGGCCUUGAAAUGGUCUUUGGGACUAAGUAAGCUUAGCUAUGGUUACUUUUGUAGCCAUUGCGACUGCUUGCUUGGGUUUCAAGGGCUAUUGAAGGGUAACUGGUACUGAAUCGAAAGGUUUAUUUGGUGAAUCGAAAGGUUUACUAAGUAAACCAUUGGUGAAGUCCGGUUUGUGAUAAUCUUGGGGGCUCUAAGGCGUGUUUUCUAAGAGCUGGACUAUAGUCGAGUUGGU